CCUUUUGAGAACUACACCAAACUAGAGUAGAUUUUUAAAUUAAAAUAGAGUUUGAUGAAAAAGGAA
rnacentral:ncRNA from 1 species